rnacentral:rRNA from 1 species
GAGCUCGCGGCCUAUCAGCUAGUUGGUGAGGUAAUGGCUCACCAAGGCGUCGACGGGUAGCCGGCCUGAGAGGGUGACCGGCCACACUGGGACUGAGACACGGCCCAGACUCCUACGGGAGGCAGCAGUGGGGAAUAUUGCACAAUGGGCGCAAGCCUGAUGCAGCAACGCCGCGUGAGGGACGACGGCCUUCGGGUUGUAAACCUCUUUUAGCAGGGAAGAAGCGAAAGUGACGGUACCUGCAGAAAAAGCACCGGCUAACUACGUGCCAGCAGCCGCGGUAAUACGUAGGGUGCAAGCGUUAUCCGGAAUUAUUGGGCGUAAAGAGCUCGUAGGCGGUUUGUCGCGUCUGCUGUGAAAACCCGAGGCUCAACCUCGGGCCUGCAGUGGGUACGGGCAGACUAGAGUGCGGUAGGGGAGAUUGGAAUUCCUGGUGUAGCGGUGGAAUGCGCAGAUAUCAGGAGGAACACCGAUGGCGAAGGCAGAUCUCUGGGCCGUAACUGACGCUGAGGAGCGAAAGGGUGGGGAGCAAACAGGCUUAGAUACCCUGGUAGUCCACCCCGUAAACGUUGGGAACUAGUUGUGGGGUCCAUUC